rnacentral:rRNA from 1 species
AGCAGCCGCGGUAAUUCCAGCCCCAAUAGCGUAUAUUAAAGUUGUUGCAGUUAAAAAGCUCGUAGUUGAAUUUCGGGGUUAGUAGGUUGGUCAUGCCUCUGGUAUGUACUGGUCUCACUGAUUCCUCCUUCCUGAUGAGCCGUAAUGCCAUUAAUUUGGUGUUGCGGGGAAUUUGGACUGUUACUUUGAAAAAAAUUAGAGUGUUUAAAGCAAGCUAACGCUUGAAUACAUUAGCAUGGAAUAAUGAAAUAGGACGUUCGAUCCUAUUUUGUUGGUUUCUAGGAUUGACGUAAUGAUUAAUAGGGAUAGUUGGGGGCAUUAGUAUUCAAUUGUCAGAGGUGAAAUUCUUGGAUUUAUUGAAGACUAACUACUGCGAAAGCAUUUGCCAAGGAUGUUUUCAUUAAUCAAGAACGAAAGUUAGGGGAUCGAAGACGAUCAGAUACCGUCGUAGUCUUAACCAUAAACUAUGCCGACUAGGGAUCGGAUGAUGUUAAUUUUUAAUGACUCAUUCGGCACCUUA